rnacentral:rRNA from 1 species
AAUGAACGUUGGCGGCGUGGAUUAGGCAUGCAAGUCGAGCGAGAACCGGUUUCGGCCGGGGACAGCGGCGAACGGCGUAGUAAUGCAUCGGAACGUACCCUCUGGUCGGGGAUAGCUACGGGAAACUGUAGGUAAUACCCGAUGAUCUCUGCGGAGCAAAGGUGAGAUUCCGCCGGAGGAGCGGCUGAUGUGAUAUUAGCUAGUUGGUGGGGUAAUGGCCUACCAAGGCGAUGAUGUCUAGGGGGUGUGAGAGCAUGGCCCCCACGACCGGAACUGAGAUACUGUCCGGACACCUACGGGUGGCUGCAGUCGAGAAUCUUCCGCAAUGGGCGAAAGUCUGACGGAGCGACGCCGCGUGCGGGAUGAAGGCCCUUGGGUUGUAAACCGCUGUCAGAGGGGAUGAAAUCUUCGGAGGUACUCCUCCGAAGUUGACAGAGCCUCAAAGGAAGCACGGGCUAAGUACGUGCCAGCCGCCGCUGUAAUAC